AAAUAAACAGCUAAGCUCAAUAAAGAAGAAUGUAGCUGCCGGUGUGUCGUCCGUCAUAGAUUCGUUCCAACUGUGAAAGAAAAAAAAAAAGAAAACAAAGACCUGCACCCACCUUCAGGAUCAUUUUCUCAUCUAGCACCACAAUGCUUUUCCCAUCACUGCUACCUGGAGGAAAUGUUCUCUCAUCAGUACGACUCGAAGACAUCGCCAUUUGUCUGCAUCAACCCAUAAUAUAUUAUACAAUGUGCUUACAAAGACACGGUAUCUGCAGUUCAAAGCCAGUGUAUAGCACGAAUGAAUAAAAACAUAUCAUACCAUAAUAAUAACCACACAUAAAUGUUAAAAUCUUAGAUGUGUAUUCUAAAUAAAAUAUGGUACACUCUUUGAUUCAGUGGUGUUUUUCACUAACCCAGUAGACAUAUAUUUUAAUAAAUGCUAAAGGCUGUAGUCUUUAAUGUCUAAUAUAUACAAAAAGUUAAAUACAGAGUAGAAGUAGAAGUAGAAAAAAAAAAGCAAUAAAAGAAUUGAUGUAAUAUUAGGAAGAGGCCCUACUGCAAAUUUGCAAGACUGCUUUCAUGUGUCUUCAUGUUUGGAUUUGAAAAAAGUAUUUUCCAAACGGCUGUUUUGCAGACUGACGUUAUAAUAUCCUACGUUUCUUAUCUCAGAUACGGCAUUCAGUAUAAUAACCUUGAAAAUCAUUUAAAUUCUUCUUAUCCCUUUAAAUGGCCUCAUGCAUUUGUGCUUUACAGCAGUGCUCUUCAAUAUUACUUUUUUCAGGGCACAUUUAACAUUGUUUUUGACUAGUAUUAUCCUGCAAUGGCUUAGAAUACUACUUUGACUUCAUGAAGCAAUUUCUUUUUAACAUGAUUGUAAUUCAGACAAAAUCAGUUGCCACACCCUCAUUGUAUACUCUUAGGUUACCUCCAUUCGGCUUUGUUGUGCCUGUGACUCAUGUCAAUAAUUAUUUUCCAGAAUAGACACCUGUGAUUUUUUUUCCCUCUUGUUUAUUUACAGCUAUGCUUAGAUAGUUAUGUAUUUUUUGUGUGAUGAUCAAUGCGGUGAAAGUGAGUAAAGUAACAAUGAAAUAUGUUUGUUUUUUAAUUCAAAAUGGAUUUCUGUUCAUGUAUGCCCAGAUAUGUCACUGUGGAGUGGACUAGUUUCUGUAAUUGUCUUCAUUAAUAAAUACGCGUCAGUCCCAUACUUUUAA